GCUCCGGUGGUCUAGUGGUUAAAGCGUCCGCCUCGGAUGCGGGAUGUCGUGGGUUCGAUCCUCGAUCGAGUCA